rnacentral:rRNA from 1 species
AUGAACGCUGGCGGCGUGCCUAAUACAUGCAAGUCGAGCGAACAGAUGAGGAGCUUGCUCCUCUGACGUUAGCGGCGGACGGGUGAGUAACACGUGGAUAACCUACCUAUAAGACUGGGAUAACUUCGGGAAACCGGAGCUAAUACCGGAUAAUAUAUUGAACCGCAUGGUUCAAUAGUGAAAGACGGUUUUGCUGUCACUUAUAGAUGGAUCCGCGCCGCAUUAGCUAGUUGGUAGGGUAACGGCUUACCAAGGCGACGAUGCGUAGCCGACCUGAGAGGGUGAUCGGCCACACUGGAACUGAGACACGGUCCAGACUCCUACGGGAGGCAGCAGUAGGGAAUCUUCCGCAAUGGGCGAAAGCCUGACGGAGCAACGCCGCGUGAGUGAUGAAGGUCUUCGGAUCGUAAAACUCUGUUAUUAGGGAAGAACAAAUGUGUAAGUAACUAUGCACGUCUUGACGGUACCUAAUCAGAAAGCCACGGCUAACUACGUG